GUAAAACUCUCUUUUAAGAAUCUGAAUCUGCUUUAAAAAGAAGAAAAAUUCGCUUCCAAAGUUCAAAAAGACAUUGGGCAAAACUACCAAAGAAAAUUGACUUCCCCCAUUGAUGAUUUAGGACACGACACAUGUCUCAGGGACCAAGGAGCAGACAUUGAAAAGACAAAAUUGUAAUCAGUCGUCAUCGACAUGGUAAAGAGGACAGCGUGCCCCUGCGUUGGUUCAGGUUUUUUCUAUCGUUUUUUUUUUAUUCUUUUGCUUAAAUUCCUUGGAGAUUUCGAUUGAAAGGUUCAGGCAAUUCCUCUGGAGCUUGUGAUUUUCAUUGUUAAAUUCCAUGGAGGCUUGUUUGAAGGGUUAAUUUUAGCAGACCUGACACGAUGGAAAGUUUAGAUGCAUUUUCAAGGUGCAUGGAUUGAUUUCACGUUAUUACUUUUAUCAUGGCAAGAAGAGAAAAAUUGGGUUUCA